CUAAGUGGCCAGGGGGAUGAAGUGGGGUGGGGAGUCAGAUGGGUCAGGAGAGAGACCAUCUUGCAUACAUUUUCUGUCUCUCCUGACCCAUCUGAUUCCCCAUCCCACUACACCCCCCUGGCCACUUAGUU
rnacentral:miRNA from 1 species